rnacentral:lncRNA from 1 species
UUGUAUCCUUUAUUGUGCACAUAUAUUGCACAUACAUGUUCCCAAUUAAAUAUGAAUGUAUAUGCAUAUAGUGGGAGAUCUGUUAGUGUUUAAUGUUCUAUUAUUUUGGAAUUGAAAAGGGUUUCUGUUUUUUUGGGUUACUGUUGUGCUGAAGAGUAGAGCCUGUGGUUAGGCUGACGACUGGCCAAAGACCAUAACAUAUUCAUUUGUUUAAAAAGUAAUGGCUGUGCACUUUUUUUAGCUUGCUGAUAGUCUCUUAGUACAUGCAGGUGUGCUUGUGCUGUUGCUAUUAUGAAAAUAUGAAAGAUAAAUAAAUAAAUAAAUAUUUAUAAAAUAUAUUAACUAUAUCAUACAUGUCUAUACUGUAUGUGUAGACACUGCACGAGUAAAUAUAUGUGCAACAUAUUUCUACACAUGCAGUACCAUAUCUUAUCACAUGUACAUCUAUGUUAUGAAGUGUAUUACUGAAUAUAAAAUUGCAUAUAUUAAAAUAUAUAAUUAAAUAUACUGCCACAUAUUUUUCAAUUCCUUAUGUAUUAUUCAAUAUAUUGUAAUAUAUUAACACAAUAUAUUAUAUUUUCAAUAUACCAUUAAAUAAUUUAAUAUAUUGAUCAUUCAUAUAUAGGGAUUUUAUUUUAUUUUAUUUUUUUCUGUGUAAGGGUGAAGUCCGUGCAAUUUUGGUUAAAUGCCUGAAAUAAGGUCCAUGGUGAACAUGAGCUCAAGAUAUUUUCAUGUUUUAUUUUACAACAUAAAAUACAUAGGUAAUGCCCUCUUGUGAUUUUUUUUAAAGCUCUUACUUGUCUUGAAAAACAUGGCUGCUAACAAGUGACUAAAUGGGACUACAGAAGUUAUCUGAGACAUUAACAUCACACCAAAGAGCCAAACUCAUCUAUUCACUAGUCCACUUUUAUUGGAACAUAUUCCUUAUUAGACGCUUUACAGUAUAAACUGUGAAAAUACAUCCCUUUCCAUAGUUUCACUGGCAUUUGACAUGAUCAUAUCAGUUUCACAUGGACAAAAAUAAAUCUGCUAUUCUUUUUAUUAUUAUUCUACUCAGCAAAGAGUUAUUUUUGCCCUGUUUUCUUUGGUAAGGAUAAAAAUAGAAACAAAUGUACAGUCUGUCCUGCCCCCACUGACCUGCUGGUCAAAUAUAUUUUC